rnacentral:rRNA from 1 species
UACGUAGGGUGCAAGCGUUGUCCGGAAUUAUUAGGCGUAAAGAGCUCGUAGGCGGUGUGUCACGUCGGCCGUGAAAACCUGGGGCUUAACUCUGGGCGUGCGGUCGAUACGGGCAUCACUAGAGUUCGGCAGGGGAGACUGGAAUUCCUGGUGUAGCGGUGAAAUGCGCAGAUAUCAGGAGGAACACCGGUGGCGAAGGCGGGUCUCUGGGCCGAUGACUGACGCUGAGGAGCGAAAGCAUGGGUAGCGAACAGG